rnacentral:rRNA from 1 species
GACGAACGCUGGCGGCGUGCUUAAUACAUGCAAGUCGAACGGACAGGCCCUGCUUUUGUGGGGUGCUCGAUUGGCGAACGGGUGAGUAACACGUGAGUAACCUGCCCUUGUCUUUGGGAUAACUUCUGGAAACUGGGGCUAAUACCGGAUAGGAGCUCUUGCUGCAUGGUGGGGGUUGGAAAGUUUCGGCGGUUGGGGAUGGACUCGCGGCUUACCAGCUUGUUGGUGGGGUAGUGGCUUACCAAGGCUUUGACGGGUAGCCGGCCUGAGAGGGUGACCGGCCACAUUGGGACUGAGAUACGGCCCAGACUCCUACGGGAGGCAGCAGUGGGGAAUAUUGCACAAUGGGCGGAAGCCUGAUGCAGCAACGCCGCGUGCGGGAUGACGGCCUUCGGGUUGUAAACCGCUUUCGCCUGUGACGAAGCGUGAGUGACGGUAAUGGGUAAAGAAGCACCGGCUAACUACGUG